rnacentral:lncRNA from 1 species
AUGUAAAAUAUACAUCUAUUUUUGGAUAUAUGUGCAACAAUCCGACCCGUUAGCAAUAAUAACUCGUUGGGUCCAAAUUAGCGGCCUAAAAUACUUAAGUCUAAUUAUUUGUAAAGACGAUGUGAGAUUUGUGAGAUGGAUAGCACUUAGCUCUCACACUUUUAGCUGGUAUUCGGUUCUAAUACCAAAUGUAACAAUUCGACCCGUUAGCAAUAAUAACUCGUUGGGCCUAACCACCUGCCCAAAAUAUUUAAACUCAGCUAUUAUUACUAGCGUGUAGAGUUUAUAUAUUAUAAUUAGAAUUUGUUUUCCACCCGAUAUAGAACUAUUAGGGCGUUACAAUAUGAAUAGCAUUGUUUUUUCUAUUUUUCAAUUUAUUUUUUUUAUUUGAAGUGUUUG